AAUCAACGCUGGCGGCGUGCCUCAGACAUGCAAGUCGAACGAUUAAAGCUCUCUUCGGAGAGUGCAUAAAGUGGCGCACGGGCGAGUAACACGUAAGUAAUCUACCUUCGAGUGGGGAAUAACGUCCGGAAACGGACGCUAAUACCGCAUAACGCAGCGGCAUCGCAAGAUGACAGUUGUUAAAGAUUUAUCGCUUGAAGAGGAGCUUGCGGCAGAUAGCUUGUUGGUAAGGUAACGGCUUACCAAGGCUACGAUCUGUAUCCGGUCUAAGAGGACGGUCGGACACACUGACACUGAAUAACGGGUCAGACUCCUACGGGAGGCAGCAGUCGGGAAUUUUGCGCAAUGGGCGAAAGCCUGACGCAGUAACGCCGCGUGGAGGA
rnacentral:rRNA from 1 species